AACGAACGCUGGCGGCGUGCCUAACACAUGCAAGUCGCGCGAGAAAGUGGGGGCAACUCCACGAGUAAAGCGGCGCACGGGUGAGUAAUACGUAGGUAACCUGCCUUCGAGAUCGGGAUAACCUUCCGAAAGGAGGGCUAAUACUGGAUAAGACCACAGACUUUCGGCUCCGUGGUCAAAGGUGGCCUCUGCUCGCAAGCUACCGCUCGAAGAUGGGCCUGCGCACCAUUAGCUAGUUGGCAAGGUAACGGCUCACCAAGGCGAAGAUGGUUAGCUGAUCUGAGAGGAUGAUCAGCCACACUGGGACUGAGACACGGCCCAGACUCCUACGGGAGGCAGCAGUGGGGAAUCUUGGACAAUGGGGGAAACCCUGAUCCAGCGACGCCGCGUGGGUGAUGAAGGCCUUCGGGUCGCAAAGCCCUGUCGGGGGGGAAGAAACUCUUGCCGGUGAACAAUCGGCGAGACCGACGGUACCCCCUAAGGAAGCACCGGCUAACUCCGUGCCAGCAGCCGCAGUAA
rnacentral:rRNA from 1 species